rfam:Phalacrocorax carbo contig70853, whole genome shotgun sequence.
GUGCUUGCUUUGGCAGCACAUGUACUAAAGGUGAAAUGAUACAGAGAAGAUUAGCGUGACCACUGUGCAAGGAUGACAUGCAAGUUUGUGAAAGGUUCUGUAUUUUA